rnacentral:rRNA from 1 species
UACGAAGGGGGCUAGCGUUGCUCGGAAUCACUGGGCGUAAAGCGCACGUAGGCGGGUUGCUAAGUCAGGGGUGAAAUCCUGGAGCUCAACUCCAGAACUGCCUUUGAUACUGGCGGCCUUGAGUCCGGGAGAGGUGAGUGGAACUGCGAGUGUAGAGGUGAAAUUCGUAGAUAUUCGCAAGAACACCAGUGGCGAAGGCGGCUCACUGGCCCGGUACUGACGCUGAGGUGCGAAAGCGUGGGGAGCAAACAGGG